rnacentral:rRNA from 1 species
UACAGAGGGUGCGAGCGUUGUUCGGAAUUACUGGGCGUAAAGCGCGCGCAGGCGGCCUUUUAAGUCUGACGGUGAAAUGCCGGGGCUCAACCCCGUGCCCGCCGCGGAUACUGGGAGGCUGGAGACAUGUAGAGGCAAGCGGAAUUCCGGGUGUAGCGGUGGAAUGCGUAGAGAUCCGGAGGAACCCCAGAGGCGAAGGCGGCGUCCUGGCUCGCAUCUGACGCUCAGACACGACAGCAUGGGGAGCGAACGGG